GGUAUGGGUACCUGCGGAGGGAUCAUUACAGAGUUGCAAAACUCCCUAAACCAUCGUGAACGCUACCUAAACCGUUGCUUCGGCGGGCGGCGCCCUCGCGCGCCCCCCUGGGGCCCGCACCGCGGGCGCCCGCCGGAGGUACACCAAACUCUUGAUAUGUUAUGGCCACUCUGAGUCUCCUGUACUGAAUAAGUCAAAACUUUCAACAACGGAUCUCUUGGUUCUGGCAUCGAUGAAGAACGCAGCGAAAUGCGAUAAGUAAUGUGAAUUGCAGAAUUCAGUGAAUCAUCGAAUCUUUGAACGCACAUUGCGCCCGCCAGCAUCCUGGCGGGCAUGCCUGUUCGAGCGUCAUUUCAACCCAUCAAGCCCACGGCUUGUGUUGGGGACCUGCGGCUGCCCGCAGGCCCUGAAAACCAGUGGCGGGCUCGCUAGUCACACCGGGCGUAGUAGCAUACGACCUCGCUCAGGGCGUGCUGCGGGUUCCAGCCGUAAAACGACCUUCAGAACCCAAGGUUGACCUCGGAUCAGGUAGGAGGACCCGCUGAACUUAAGCAUAUCAAUAAGGCGGGAGGAA
rnacentral:rRNA from 1 species